UACAGAGGGUGCGAGCGUUAAUCGGAAUUACUGGGCGUAAAGCGUGCGUAGACGGCUAUCUAAGUCGGGUGUGAAAGCCCCGGGCUCAACCUGGGAAUUGCAUUCGAGACUGAAUAGCUAGGGUACGGUAGAGGGAAGUGGAAUUUCCGGUGUAGCGGUGAAAUGCGUAGAUAUCGGAAGGAACAUCAGUGGCGAAAGCGACAUCCUGGACCGGUAUUGACGCUGAGGCGCGAAAGCCAGGGGAGCAAACGGG
rnacentral:rRNA from 1 species